AGCCUGCGAUGGUUUAAGAGUAGUGGACAGAAGGGAUUUCUAAAAAAAAUUCUAUUUUGUGGCU